UACGUAGGGGGCAAGCGUUGUCCGGAGUUAUUGGGCGUAAAGCGCGCGCAGGCGGCCUCGCGCGCCCGACGUGAAAGCCCCCGGCUUAACCGGGGAGGGUCGUUGGGGACGGCGGGGCUUGAGGGCGGGAGAGGUCGGUGGAAUUCCCGGUGUAGUGGUGAAAUGCGUAGAUAUCAGGAGGAACACCGGUGGCGAAGGCGGCCCUCUGGACGAGUACUGACGCUGAGGCGCGAAAGCGUGGGGAUCAAACAGG
rnacentral:rRNA from 1 species